CGUCAGUUCUUUUAUUGUUGUCUCGUUUUUACUACACGUUUUCUCUUCCUGUAUUCAUUACUAUUCGACAUGAGGCCUUUUGAGGCAGCAAGGCGAUUUUUCUAACAUACUUAGUAGCAAUUGUAUGUUUCCUGGAUAAGGCAUAUUUUACAAGUCGAACAAAGAGAGAUACAUGUAACUCAGAUAAACGUUGAAGAAAAUUAGAAUUACAGUCAACUUACAAUGUACAUGUACUAUUGCAGAAUGUUAUUGAUGAUACAAUAUGUAUGUUCAAAUUAAACUGAAUAAUUGUUUUUAAAAAAUGCUCUGUUGUGGGUUCGAACCCCGCUCGUGACAGGUGCGUUCGACUCCUAUCUUAAUUGACGAGAAUGCCAGUUUUUUUUUCGGCCGAAGUUCAGUGGUUCUCUGUUGUUAUUAACUCCGGCAUCCUCCACCAAUAAAAACUGGCCGCCACGAUAUAGCCAAGAUUGCUGAAAGUGGCGUUACAUACAAACAAUCAAUCAAUCAAUAAUUCCAAGAACAUAAAUGUCGAACAAUCACAGACUUGUUUCGUCUUUUUUUCCCCCAUUAUGAACGAUCGAGUAAUGUUGAAAAGAAGAAAAUAAUGUAAUUACAGUGA
rnacentral:lncRNA from 1 species